CCUACGGGAGGCAGCAGUGAGGAAUAUUGGUCAAUGGACGAGAGCCUGAACCAGCCAAGUAGCGUGAAGGAUGACUGCCCUAUGGGUUGUAAACUUCUUUUAUAAAGGAAUAAAACGAGGCACGUGUGCCUUUUUGCAGGUACUUUAUGAAUAAGGCUCGGCUAACUCCGUGCCAGCAGCCGCGGUAAUACGGAGGAUCCGAGCGUUAUCCGGAUUUAUUGGGUUUAAAGGGAGCGUAGGUGGGUUGGUAAGUUAGUUGUGAAAGUUUGCGGCUCAACCGUAAAAUUGCAAUUGAUACUGGGAAUCUUGAGUGCAGUUGAGGUAGGCGGAAUUCGUGGUGUAGCGGUGAAAUGCUUAGAUAUCACGAAGAACCCCGAUUGCGAAGGCAGCUUACUAAACUGUGACUGACGUUGAGGCUCGAAAGUGUGGGUAUCAAACAGGAUUAGAUACCCUUGUAGUC
rnacentral:rRNA from 1 species